UUGCUUGGGUAAGCGAUGCAUUCUGAAACCUUUAAAUUAGCAUUUCUGUUUUAAGUUGUUUGAGGAUUUGAGGUCUUGGUGUCAUAGGAUGGAGUUACGGGUCUUGAUAGCUGAGUUUUAUGGCUGUUGCAUACAGCAUCAAGGUGCUACGUCAUCACCGGAGCUGCUGUUGCUCCGUUUUCUCGAUUAUUCGUAAGCCCAGAUUGAGCUAAGGCUGUGUUUAGAGGCUGUGGCUGCCACGGGGACGGUCGGUAUUGAUGCUGUUGCUGUGGGAUAAGAAUAGAAAUGCAGUUUGUCGCGUAGUUGAAACGCGAACGAGGUAGGGGUUUUUCUUAAAUUCUAUUUUAUAUUACAGAGUUGUUAUAAAUAGAUAUUGACGUAGAGAGAUAUACCUUUGUGAUUAUAUUUGUCUUGUGAAUGUGAUGGUUUGUUGGACUGAAUUAUUGGUUGCUUGAUUGCUUGAGUGAAGUACGAUUGUUGAUAAAAAAUGGGUUUGAAAAGUUAUUUACUUAAUUAUUAUGAAAAGUGGUUUUUCUUGGUUUGGAGUUAAAGUGGUUUGAUUUUGAGUCGGUCUGAUUUUAUAAAUGAUUUAAUACUUGAGCUGGUUUGAUUUUAAAAAGAGUUUUAUUAUUGGAAUUGGUCUGAUUUGAGAAUAAUUUGAUAUUGGAGCUGGUUCAACUCUGGAAAAUGUUUGAAAUUCGGAAAUGGUUGAGAAAAUGUUUGAGAAAUGUUUGGGUGGGACCCGAAAAGGGUGGCAGUGUCCGAGUUUUAGAGGAGAUGCUGCCGAAAUUUUAUAAAAUUGAAAGUUUUGCCUAAAGUGAUGAUUUAAAAAGAUUUAGUUUUUGAACGUUAUAUGUUUUAAGAUUGAUUUAUUUAGAAAAGAAAUAAUUAUGCUUUGAAUUGAGAUUGUUGAUUAACGGAAAGAAUGAUGAUGAGGAUUGAUUUGAAAUAUGAUUUUUGAAUGAAUUUGGAAAUGGGAUAUGGAUUGAUGAAUGUGAUGAUAUUGAAAAUGGCUUAGAUGUUGAUGAAUGAUGAAUGAAUUAUUUAUAUGGCUUAUGAAUUUGAAAUAUCUGAGAUACGAGGUUCCCUGGAUUAAGUGCCGUGGCUUGCCACCACGUGUACCAGGUUGAAAACUCGAUAUUCUGUUGACCCUACGACGUAAGUGUGACCGGGCACUAUAUAAAUUCCCGGGAAUGAUACCGCCAUUGAGUAAUAUUGAUUAUUUGAGAAAAAGCUAUGCAUAGACUCUUGGGGAUGCACGUCGGGAGACGGUCUAAGGACAAUUCAGACUUGUCGGGUUGGCUGGAUAACCGACAGAUGAGCCUCAUCAGCCAUAGGACAGGCAUGCAUCAUAUGCAUUUGUAUGCUUUGCUUGGGUUUGAACUUGUUUUGGUUUGCCUAAUUGCUAAACUGUUCUUAACUACUACUUGAACUAUUUGCUGUAACUGCUACCUACUUGUGCUUUCCUUGUCUGUCUUGCCUGUGUUUGUUCUGGUGUGCUACAUCUGAGAAUGAACUUGGAUGCUGAAUUAAUGAUUGUGUUGUUUGAUUGCGUGGUUGAUUUCUGAAUGAGAUUUUCCUAUAAGAAAUGAAAGAUUUUGGAUUUCUGAAAGAUUAAACAUUGUUUCUUUGGAAAGGGUUUUGAACGAUUUCCUAUUGGUUUUAAAAGAUUCAUAAGGCAAUGAUAAUCACUGAGUUUGAAAACAGUUUCUUAUUAAAUAUCUUCUUAUAACAACUUUGAAACUCUGUGGUGAGACCGUGUUGUUAGGUUCUCACCCCCUACAGCUUUACCUUUUCAGGAUCCGGAGGAAGAAGCAUUAAGAAGAGAUAUACUGUGUUUGGUUUAUAAGAUAUUGUAUUAAUUAGAUUAUUUUCUUCCCUCGUCUUUGUUAUUACGAGUUUGUAAGAGGGAUAGGAAUUGUAUGUUUUAUAUGUAUAUUAUAUUAUGAGUUAUUAUCUAAGGAGUCUUGUAAAUGAAUCUAUGCCUGU